rnacentral:pre_miRNA from 13 species
UUGCCCAUUUUGGCACUAGCACAUUUUUGUUUCGUUUCCUGCUGUUUGAGCAAUCAUGUGUAGUGCCAAUAUGGGACA